GACGGCGGCGCGGACCGGAUUUCGCGCUGAUUGGCUGAGGCUCCAAACCAGGAACUCCUCCCUCCCUGCAGAGUCCCUAGUAGUUGCCAGGCAACAGCGACCAGCUGCUGUGGGCGUCAGUCAGGAGGCUUGCGCAGGCGCCCCAGUCACGGUCGCCUAAAGGACUACAUGUCCCGUCCACCCUUUCGCGGAGUUUUUGAACGUUACAGCGUCGCGACUCGCGCCUGUCUCGCUCACACAGGCACAGAAAGAAAGAAAAAUAAUGCCCGGGAAGUGGAGGAGGCUGUUAGCUAUUGCGGCCUGGGGUGUAAGAGCUGCUGCGUGUCGCAAGGCAUUGUCUGGGACAGACCUAGCUUAUGGGAAAUGUUGGUUAGAUAUUAGCAAAUCGUAAGUCCGCUGUCAUGUCCGGAGUGUUAAAACUGGUUCCUUACCACUACGGUGUCUGUCCAGGCGCGCUGCUUCCACACACUGCUCCUGGUUAAUGCAUCAGUCUGUUUGCGCUUAUGCCCGUGUGAUGCCUCCAGCAGUUCGCCAAUGUCUCAGGGUAAAACACUGUACAGUACAUGCUGUCUCAGGACUGAGCCUCCAUGGUGCUUCGUGGUGUUUGGGCUUAAACCAAAGUUUUCUUGAAACCAGCUCAUGGGUGCCGCAAUCUUGGUUUCAGUCAGCUGAUUUCACUGUCCAAUCCAGGAGCUUCUCACAACCAGCUGAUCACAGCUUACAAUCACUGAGCACUCCGGGAACUUCCUGCUGACGUCAGUACAACAGUACGCCAGACCCACUUCUUCACCAAGGCAAAAAAGAGAAACUACCCUAGGAUAAUAAACUCCUGGAGCUGGAUGGGACGGUUCAACGCAGCAGCUAACCACAAAGGGGUUGGUCAGACCCCAAAUAAAACACGAGCACAAGAAAAUAGUAGCGCUUGCAGGUCACAAAUGAGAGAGGUAGGUCACAACAAUAACACAAUUUAAUAAAAUCGUAAUCAGCAAAAUCUAAAAGAUGCAUAUAGAAUACACAUUGUAAAAAAUAUUUUUAAAAAAGUUGGUUUGUAAAGUUAGCAGUGCUCCUCCCAAUUUCAAAUAGGUGUAAAUUAUGAGAAGUUCAAUUAACCUGUUCCAAAAAAACAGUCCCCUUGGUCCCAAUAGGCCCGUGUAGAUCACAACCGUAAAUGAUAGUUACCACCAGCGUCUUUCAAGGCGUUUAAGCGGAUAGGCAUCCGCAAAUAGCUUUCCUUUGAUUGGCGAUGCAGAAAGAGUCCGAUGGUGUGAAGGGAUCUCUCUUUAAACAGGGUCCAAAAGUAUGUAGUAACAGGGGACUUGGUCCAGGUGUAGAUGUUCCAAUAGGUCGGUGGUGGGAGUGAGCACAAAACAGGUCUCACUGACGCGUUUCGUUGCGUUCUCCCAACUUUUUCAAGGUGCUGCUAGUGAGGGUUUAUAAACCACAUCAAUAUGGCUGCUCAUUUGCAUGUGUAAUUGAUUGUGACCAUCCCCUCUCAUUGUGUGACCAAAUAAUGACAGACAAUAUAUGUAAUAAAACUUAUUCAAGAAUACAAUCUCA